UAAAAGUAAUGUAGGGGAGAGGACCAUGCAGGAAGAGUCCUAUUUGGGCAGGGAAAGGCAGAGAGGCCUACUUCUCAGCCCAAAACUAGCACGGGGAGGGCAGUUCCAGCCCACAUAUGUUGUCAUCUAGUUUCUGUAGUCUGUGCGCCACAUCUUAAGUUUUCUGCAGGUCUUGAUGUCCUCUUUGCACUCAAGGCAUGCCGGACAUGCCUUGGGCACCGUGUCUAGGGUCCCGAAUGCUUGUACUCAUCAAAGCAGUGUCAAUCGGGCACUGCUCUUCUUGCAUCGCAAUCCUAAAGCAUGGAUUGGUCUUGUGUUUGGGAAGUUUCGGAUCAGAUGUCUCUUACGCUGCGGCCUUGCAGCCUGUGUCGGCAUCCAUGUUUGUUAGUCAUCCAUUUUCUUGGAUCCCUGUUCUGGGACUUGUUCGGUGCAUCCUCUGCACCUCUAGGUCUUUCAGCGGGGCUUCCUGUUAUCUUGUUUCUGUAGUCUGUGCGCCACGUCUUCAGUUUUCUGCAGGUCUUGAUGUCCUCUUUGCACUCAAGGCAUGCCAGACAUGCCUUGGGCACCGUGUCUAGGGUCCUGAAUGCAUGUACUCAUCAAUGCAGUCUCGAUCGGGCACUGCUCUUCUUGCAUCGCAAUCCUAAAGCAUGGAUCGGUCUUGUGUUUUGGAAGUUUGGGAUCAGAUGUCUCUUUGGCUGCAGCCUUGCAGCCUGCAUUGGCAUCUGUGUUCGUUAGUCAUCCAUUUUCUUGGAUCCCUGUUCUGGGACUCGUUCCAUGCAUCCUCUGCAUCUUUAGGUCUUUAAACGGGGCUUCUUGCUCCUUCAUCCUCCCAGUUGCGGCUGUAUCUCUUUGUAAUGAGCCAUGAUCCUUCACUUUUCCAGGGCCCCCAUAGACUCUUCGUUGUAGCCCCAUACAGCGUCUUGCCUGAUGGCAUGUGUGGUCCAGGAAUCAUUCUUCCUACAGUGAGUUCUUUUGUCCCUGGUUCACGACAUCUGUCUUGUGUGUGGUGUUGUUCUUUGUGUGUUUUGUAUCUGGCUGGAGCUGCUCUGCCCGAUGCAUGGAGGUGAUAAGAGUGAGCAGAGGUAGAAGGGCAAGAUUCUGUGGUUAAUGUGCUGAUAGGCGUACACCUUGCAGUCUGGGGGCAUACCAUUCUUUGCAGAAGAAGUAGCCCUAGUUGCAGCGGGUGAUGAGGAGAGUAGUUUCUGCUUGGCUCUGCAGCCACAGAGGGGAUGACCAAAAGUGUGUGGGAGAAUCCAGUGGAGCAGUACCGGAGCAGUUUAAAUUCAAAGGGAAUGGAACUUAAUGUUUGGGUUUGGUUGUGGAUUUGUUGUGCCUGGCUGUAGUGUGCGGUAGAGAUGGUACUGCUAAAUGGAAGCGAGAGGUCUGGAACCGUUAAGGCGUCACUGAGCAUCCGAGUGACUUCUUUGAUAUUGUUUUUCAGAUGCAGAGGGAUGACCUGUGUGCCAAAUGCCACUGAUGGACUUGUGGGUGGAGCGCCAUAGGGAGGCGAGUCGGCUGUGGUGUAGGUGGAGAGCAAGCCUCAACAUGGCAGCCUGAGAUGAUGGAUGCUGGGCAGGAGAGCGGUCAAGGUGCUACAUGCAGCCUCAGAGGGGUGGAGCUUCAUGCUGAGAAAUGGUUUGAGCGGUGCUGUGCGGGCUGCCUUUGCGAUGGGAAGAGCAGUUGAGGUG